AUCAUAGAAGCGUGAGAACUCAGAGAAAUUCACCAUCAUUUCUAACUUAGAAAUGAGCUUUGCAAGUUCAUCAAAAAUUGAACUCCUCAUAUGCAUUCUCAAUUCCACAAAGUUUAGAAGCUGAGCCAAUGCAUCCCUUGAGGAUUUGCCACGCUGUGCAUGAUCAUCUUGUUCAUUCCUUUCCCCCUCAUAUGCGUUUCCUGAUCUAAUGUCGCAAUAACGCUGGUAAAUCUCGAAUAUGUCAACCCGACUCGAAUCCCGCAAAUCCAUAGGGAACUGAAGGCAGAGACAGAGUAGAACUGGUGGGUAUGAACAAAACCCUGGAAGCAGAAGCUCAGAAACUCCAAAAAAAAUUUUUAAAAAAAUUAUAAUAUUAAUAAAUUG
rnacentral:misc_RNA from 1 species